AUUGAACGCUGGCGGCAUGCCUUACACAUGCAAGUCGAACGGCAGCACGGGAGCAAUCCUGGUGGCGAGUGGCGAACGGGUGAGUAAUACAUCGGAACGUGCCCAAGUCGUGGGGGAUAGCGCAGCGAAAGCUGUGCUAAUACCGCAUACGAUCUAUGGAUGAAAGCAGGGGGACCGCAAGGCCUUGUGCUCCUGGAGCG
rnacentral:rRNA from 1 species